UCUAGCUCAGGAUGAACGCUGGCGGCGUGCUUAAUACAUGCAAGUCGAACGAAGCACCUGCGACGGAUCCCUUCGGGGUGAAGAUGCUGUGACUGAGUGGCGGACGGGUGAGUAACGCGUGGGUAACCUGCCUUAUGCAGGGGGACAACAGUUAGAAAUGACUGCUAAUACCGCAUAAGCGCACGAGACCGCAUGGUCAAGUGUGAAAAGAUUUAUCGGCAUAAGAUGGACCCGCGUCUGAUUAGGUAGUUGGUGAGGUAACGGCCCACCAAGCCGACGAUCAGUAGCCGACUUGAGAGAGUGAUCGGCCACAUUGGGACUGAGACACGGCCCAGACUCCUACGGGAGGCAGCAGUGGGGAAUAUUGGGCAAUGGGCGAAAGCCCUGACCCAGCAACGCCGCGUGAAGGAUGAAGGUCUUCGGAUUGUAAACUUCUUUGAUUGGGGAAGAAUAAAUGACCUACCCAAAGAACAAGUCACGGCUAACUACGUGCCAGCCGCGGC
rnacentral:rRNA from 1 species